rnacentral:misc_RNA from 1 species
UGCCUAGCUGCGGCCACCCGA